rnacentral:lncRNA from 1 species
GAUCAAACCAGUAUUAUAAAGUAUAAACCAUUACUAUUACUAAUAAUCUGUCAAACACUCAAACCAUUAGUUCAAUAUUACUAAUCUGGCAAGACAUUACAAAAUAAUGGACAAAGAUAUUGUUAACAUCUCCCGUCAAGUUCUAUCAUCUCUCCCUCUUUCACUUUUCUCCCACCUGUAGGAAGAACAAAGCAUGGACAAAGAAGUUACAGGCAUAUGAAAUUCCAUAAACUAAAAAAACUAAUUCUACACAUUAUGACAUAUUCUAUAUCAUGAUAAAACUAGAGAGAGAUUGACAAAAAGUUAACAUCUAUGGCCCAAAAUAUUAUCUAGUCAAGAGGUCAGUAUGUGAAGGUUUACAAUUAACUCAGAUGGAAUAAAUAAUUACAGAAUCAUUCUGUUCCAAAACAAAAAUUUCUUAAUUUCAGUCUCGAACAUUCUAUUCAAAACAUACAGCUCUGAAGGGUCUUAUUCACAAUCCAGAUAUCACUCCCAUAACACCAUCUAGGGAAUCAAAUAUAUACUCUGGAUAUUUGUAAGAAAACUCCUCCAUUUUAUUUGCAUUGCACGUUUUAGCAAAUUAUGAGUUGAAGACAGUUUUGGACUAUGCAGUGAUAUACAUAUUUCAAGACUAAGUUACAAUUUUAACACUUAUAAUAAUAAAUCACUUCACUUCAAACUCAAUUUUAACUAUUAGUUUUAUAGAAGUUCAUUCAAAAUUAUGUUUGACAAGC